rnacentral:rRNA from 1 species
AUUGAACGCUGGCGGCAUGCCUUACACAUGCAAGUCGAACGGCAGCACGGGAGCAAUCCUGGUGGCGAGUGGCGAACGGGUGAGUAAUAUAUCGGAACGUGCCCAGUCGUGGGGGAUAACGUAGCGAAAGCUACGCUAAUACCGCAUACGAUCUAUGGAUGAAAGCGGGGGAUCGCAAGACCUCGCGCGAUUGGAGCGGCCGAUAUCAGAUUAGGUAGUUGGUGAGGUAAAGGCUCACCAAGCCGACGAUCUGUAGCUGGUCUGAGAGGACGACUAGCCACACUGGGACUGAGACACGGCCCAGACUCCUACGGGAGGCAGCAGUGGGGAAUUUUGGACAAUGGGCGCAAGCCUGAUCCAGCAAUGCCGCGUGCAGGAUGAAGGCCUUCGGGUUGUAAACUGCUUUUGUACGGAGCGAAAAGGCUUCCACUAAUACUGGGGGCUCAUGACGGUACCGUAAGAAUAAGCACCGGCUAACUACGUGCCAGCAGCCGCCGUAAGAC